AGAAUGACUCUCGGCAACGGAUAUCUCGGCUCUUGCAUCGAUGAAGAACGUAGCGAAAUGCGAUACUUGGUGUGAAUUGCAGAAUCCCGUGAACCAUCGAGUCUUUGAACGCAAGUUGCGCCUGAGGCCACUAGGUUGAGGGCACGUCUGCCUGGGCGUCACAC
rnacentral:rRNA from 2 species